AUUCUACCCUCACUCACAAAACAAGGCGGAGAACAAAACCACGUUAUCAGCUCAUUAGGGUUUCUGUCUUUCACAUCCGCCCCAUUUCUUCUCUCUCUCUCUCACCAGGCGAUAACCCUUGAUCGAUGGAUUUCACUGCCGAAUUCACUGUAUCGACGGAUUUCACCUGCGAAUCCACAUCUCAGGGUUUUUCUCCGGCUAUGACCCUAGAUCGAUGGAUUUCUCCGGCUAUGACCCUAGAUCGAUGGUUUUUUCUGUCGAAUCCACAUCUCAGGGUUUCUUUCUCCAGCGAUGACCCUUGAGCGAUGGAUUUCACCGGCGUUUUCAAAUCUCAGGGUUUCUUUCUCCGGCGAUAACCCUAGAGAUAGAUGGAUUUCACCGGCGUUUUCACAUCUCAGGCAACAAGAAGAAGGGCUGGAUGAGCUAAGUGCAAGUAUAGAAUGGAUAGAUUUAUGGGGCUUACCUUACAUGACGAACUCAUUGCGCAGCCACAGUUUAUUGGUUGGUUAGAGAUAACCGACACCGAGCUACUCAAAUCCGUAUGCGCGAAUAAACAAGUGAGAGUCUUGAUUGUUAACAUAGGAGUUGUUCCUCAAUUGGUGGAACUACUGCCUGGGAUGAAUCAUGCCUGGCAAAAACGGUCGGGUUGGAUUCUUCUGCCGUUUUGGCUGAGGUUGCGAUUGUUACUGCACGAAAAUCAGAUCAAAGUCAACCUGAAAGUCAAAAUCAACCAGAAAGUCAAAUCAAAUUACUAGGAUGUCCUCGGCUGACUUGAGAAGCACGUGCGAGGUACUCGAGAGAGAGUAUACAGAAGAGUAUGAACGGUGCAUAGAAAAUAUGCUGACCAAUCGCAAAGCUCAAACAAUGUGGAUGGAUGGCAAUUUUGCACUAGGCGCAAGCUAUAUUAGCUUAUCAUGGUUCUUUUUUAUAUUCCUUGUUGAGGUGUUACAGAAUGGAAUUAAAGAAGGUCGAGAAAUUUUCCCAUGAUAUGGAUGGAACUCUUGCUCUAGCACAUACGACUGGUGCUGGAGCAGACAAGACUUUCAGAAGAGACAUAUUUGAUGCCCAUUACAGGCUUGCUUGUGUGCUAGAAUUAAUAUCAGUGGAACCAAUGGGGAAGUUAUGCCCGUCGAGACACGAAGACCAGAUGCAAUAUUGUCCAAUAAGUGUUGUUAUGACUACUUCGAGAUGUUACAAUUAUCCACUAUUAAACCUUUUGAUAAUGUUUGAUUUAGAUCAUGUAUGUUUAAACCCAACUUUUUUUAUUUUUAUGUUACUAUCUUUUAUGAG